CCUACGGGUGGCUGCAGUGAGGAAUAUUGGUCAAUGGACGAGAGUCUGAACCAGCCAAGUAGCGUGAAGGAUGACUGCCCUAUGGGUUGUAAACUUCUUUUAUAAAGGAAUAAAACGAGGCACGUGUGCCUUUUUGCAUGUACUUUAUGAAUAAGGAUCGGCUAACUCCGUGCCAGCAGCCGCGGUAAUACGGAGGAUCCGAGCGUUAUCCGGUUUUAUUGGGUUUAAGGGGUGCGUAGGCGGAUCGUUAAGUCAGUGGUCAAAUUGAGGGGCUCAACCCCUUCCCGCCAUUGAAACUGGCGUUCUUGAGUGGAAGAGAAGUAUGCGGAAUGCGUGGUGUAGCGGUGAAAUGCAUAGAUAUCACGCAGAACCCCGAUUGCGAAGGCAGCAUGCCGGCUUCCGACUGACGCUGAAGCACGAAAGCGUGGGGAUCGAACAGGAUUAGAUACCCGAGUAGUC
rnacentral:rRNA from 1 species